GACGAACGCUGGCGUCGUGCUUAACACAUGCAAGUCGAACGUGAUUUUUGUGGAAAUUCUUUCGGGAAUGGAAAUGAAAUGAAAGUGGCGAACGGGUGAGUAACACGUGAGCAACCUACCUUACACAGGGGGAUAGCCGUUGGAAACGACGAUUAAUACCGCAUGAGACCACAGAAUCGCAUGAUAUAGGGGUCAAAGAUUUAUUCGGUGUAAGAAGGGCUCGCGUCUGAUUAGCUAGUUGGAAGGGUAAAGGCCUACCAAGGCGACGAUCAGUAGCCGGUCUGAGAGGAUGAACGGCCACAUUGGAACUGAGACACGGUCCAAACUCCUACGGGAGGCAGCAGUGGGGAAUAUUGCACAAUGGGGGGAAACCCCUGAUGCAGCGACGCCCGCGUGAGCGAAAGAAAGGUUUUUCG
rnacentral:rRNA from 1 species